AUGCUUUGGCAGAAAAUAUCUUAAAAUUGGCACAAUCCCGAGAAAAUAAACAUGUCCCUUUUUAAGGAUGACACAGAAAAUCAUGAAGCAUUUCAUUAAAAA
ensembl:snRNA U6 U6 spliceosomal RNA